rnacentral:rRNA from 1 species
GAUCCUGGCUCACGAUGAACGCUAGCUACAGGCUUAACACAUGCAAGUCGAGGGGCAGCAUGGUCUUAGCUUGCUAAGGCCGAUGGCGACCGGCGCACGGGUGAGCAACACGUAUCCAACCUGCCGUCUACUCUUGGACAGCCUUCUGAAAGGAAGAUUAAUACAAGAUGGCAUCAUGAGUUCACAUGUUCACAUGAUUAAAGGUAUUCCGGUAGACGAUGGGGA